GAUGAACGCUGGCUACAGGCUUAACACAUGCAAGUCGAGGGGAAACGACGGGGAAGCUUGCUUCCCCGGGCGUCGACCGGCGCACGGGUGAGUAACGCGUAUCCAACCUGCCUCUGACUGAGGGAUAACCCGUCGAAAGUCGGCCUAAUACCUCAUGGUAUCGUCUGCGGGCAUCCAACGACGAUUAAAGAUUUCAUCGGUCAGGGAUGGGGAUGCGUCUGAUUAGCUUGUUGGCGGGGUAACGGCCCACCAAGGCUACGAUCAGUAGGGGUUCUGAGAGGAAGGUCCCCCACAUUGGAACUGAGACACGGUCCAAACUCCUACGGGAGGCAGCAGUGAGGAAUAUUGAUCAAUGGGCGAGAGCCUGAACCAGCCAAGUAGCGUGCAGGAAGACGGCCCUAUGGGUUGUAAACUGCUUUUAUGCGGGGAUAAAGUGAGGGACGUGUCCCUCAUUGCAGGUACCGCAUGAAUAAGGACCGGCUAAUUCCGUA
rnacentral:rRNA from 1 species